GCAGGGUGAAGGUGCAGUAACAUGCACUGGAGGCCCGAACCGUUGAGCGUUGAAAAGCUCUCGGAUGACCUGUGCCUAGGGGUGAAAGGCCAAUCAAACUUGCUGAUAGCUGGUUCUCCUCGAAAUCUAUUUAGGUAGAGCGUCAUCCGAAUACCCCGGGGGGUAGAGCACUGGAUGGGUAAUGGGGCCCCACAGGCUUACUGAUCCUAACCAAACUCCGAAUACCCGGGAGUACUAGAUGGCAGACACACUGCGGAUGCUAACGUCCGUAGUGGAGAGGGAAACAACCCUGACCUACAGCUAAGGCCCCCAAUUCAUGGCUAAGUGGGAAAGCAGGUGGGACGACCAAAACAACCAGGAGGUUGGCUUAGAAGCAGCCAUCCUUUAAAGAUAGCGUAACAGCUCACUGGUCUAAACAAGUUGUCCUGCGGCGAAGAUGUAACGGGGCUCAAGCCAUGAGCCGAAGCUUAGGAUGCCGUAAGGCAUGGUAGCGGAGCGUAGUG
rnacentral:rRNA from 1 species